AGCAAGAUGAGGAGAUCCGUUUGACAGCUGAAUUUAAUGUGGAAUUUCUACAGUUCUAAUGGUCUUCAAAGUUCUCUGAUUGCU
rfam:Gossypium hirsutum cultivar TM-1 chromosome 4, whole genome shotgun sequence